CGCAACCUCCCCGGCAAAAGCAUAACCACACCAGCGCAGCAGCCACACAACGCCAUUCCGACUUCCGAACCCGACAUCACAUUUGUCGCUCGCCCUCGCCGUCGCCGCCGCGUCACCGCGCAAGCGCAGGGAGUUGCUCAGCGUCUCAGGGCUCUCGGCUAUGGGGAUCCACCUCCUGGCGUUCGCCUUCGUGCAGGUGUUUCAGGCCUCGGCGCCGCUGCUGUGGCCGCUCAACCUCUGGCUGCCCCGCCACCUCCCCCAGCUCUGCGCCGUCGUCUCCGGCGAGAUCGCCGCCCACGUCGCCUGGCUGCGCCGCGCCCACGCGAGGCGCCGAGAUGACGACGAGCAAGGCCGCCGCCAGGGGCUGCUAUACGCCGUGUACUGAGAUAUCCAGACCGGACAGUUUCUUCACUUUUGACGUUUAGAUUAUUUUUCGAGCGCUAGCUGCGGAAUAUCGAUGUAGGCUUUUUUGGAUUUGAAUAUGUAUGUAAGUUACUAGCAUCGAUCUGUGAAUACGAGCAAAUUCUGCUAGGACCGGCUGAUUCUGUCGGGAUUGAUGGCUUUGUUUUGCUCCAGCUAGCAUCUCAAAUAGUAGUACAGGUUUACAGUUGUUCUUCAGGAGAUUCAUUUGUUUUCCCUGCCAAGAACUGGCCAGAUCUUGUUAGAGAGAUUAAAGAUAGUAUGACCGAACGUAGUUCUUGUA